rnacentral:rRNA from 1 species
AAGUCGAACGGAGUAGCAAUACUCAGUGGCAGACGGGUGAGUAACAUGUGGGUAUCUUCCCUUUGGUGAGGAAUAACACGAGGAAACUUGUGCUAAUACCUCAUAAGUCUUUACGGAGAAAGCUUUAUGCGCCAUUGGAUGAGCCCGCACUUGAUUAGUUUGUUGGUGGGGUAAAGGCCUACCAAGACUAUGAUCAAUAGCUGAUUUGAGAGGAUGAUCAGCCACAUUGGGACUGAGACACGGCCCAAACUCCUACGGGAGGCAGCAGUAGGGAAUCUUGCACAAUGGAGGAAACUCUGAUGCAGCGAUGCCGCGUGAGUGAAGAAGGCCUUUGGGUUGUAAAGCUCUUUCGUCGGGGAAGAAAAUGACUGUACUCGAAUAGGAAGGUCCGGCUAACUUCGUGCCAGCAGCCGCAGUAAUACGAAGGGACCUAGCGUAGCUCGGAAUUACUGGGCUUAAAGAGUUCGUAGGUGGUUAAAAAAGUUGGUGGUGAAAUCCCAGAGCUUAACUCUGGAACUGCCAUCAAAACUUUUUAGCUAGAGUAUGAUAGAGGAAAGCAGAAUUUCUAGUGUAGAGGUGAAAUUCGUAGAUAUUAGAAAGAAUACCAAUUGCGAAGGCAGCUUUCUGGAUCAUUACUGACACUGAGGAACGAAAGCAUGGGUAGCGAAGAGGAUUAGAUACCCUCGUAGUCCAUGCCGUAAACGAUGUGUGUUAGACGUUGGAAAUUUAUUUUCAGUGUCGCAGCGAAAGCAAUAAACACACCGCCUGGGGAGUACGACCGCAAGGUUAAAACUCAAAUGAAUUGACGGGGACCCGCACAAGUAGUGGAGCAUGUGGUUUAAUUCGAAGAUACGCGCAGAACCUUACCAACACUUGACAUGUUCGCCGCGACUUUAAGAGAUU